rnacentral:rRNA from 1 species
UACGUAGGGUGCGAGCGUUAAUCGGAAUUACUGGGCGUAAAGCGUGCGCAGGCGGUUUUGUAAGCCAGAUGUGAAAGCCCCGGGCUUAACCUGGGAAUGGCAUUUGGGACUGCAAGGCUUGAGUGCGGCAGAGGAGACUGGAAUUCCCGGUGUAGCGGUGAAAUGCGCAGAUAUCGGGAGGAACACCAGUAGCGAAGGCGGCACUCUGGGCCGGUACUGACGCUGAGGAGCGAAAGCGUGGGGAGCGAACAGG